AGUUUUAUAGUUUAUUGAGAAUAAGAGAUUGCAAGUCUUAAGGUGUGGUUUACCACUAAAACUU
rnacentral:tRNA from 1 species